AACGUACGCUGGCGGCACGCCUAACACAUGCAAGUCGAGCGAAGUAGCAAUACUUAGUGGCAGACGGGUGAGUAACAUGUGGGUAUCUGCCCUUUGGCCUGGAAUAACACGAGGAAACUUGUGCUAAUACCGGAUAAGUCUUUACGGAGAAAGCUUUAUGCACCAUUGGAUGAGCCCGCACUUGAUUAGUUUGUUGGUGGGGUAAUGGCCUACCAAGACUGUGAUCAAUAGCUGAUUUGAGAGGAUGAUCAGCCACAUUGGGACUGAGACACGGCCCAAACUCCUACGGGAGGCAGCAGUGGGGAAUCUUGCACAAUGGAGGAAACUCUGAUGCAGCGAUGCCGCGUGAGUGAAGAAGGCCCUUGGGUUGUAAAGCUCUUUCGUCGGGGAAGAAAAUGACUGUACCCGAAUAAGAAGGUCCGGCUAACUUCGUGCCAGCAGCCGCGGUAAUACGAAGGGACCUAGCGUAGUUCGGAAUUACUGGGCUUAAAGAGUUCGUAGGUGGUUGAAAAAGUUAGUGGUGAAAUCCCAGAGCUUAACUCUGGAACUGCCAUUAAAACUUUUCAGCUAGAGUAUGAUAGAGGAAAGCAGAAUUUCUAGUGUAGAGGUGAAAUUCGUAGAUAUUAGAAAGAAUACCAAUUGCGAAGGCAGCUUUCUGGAUCAUUACUGACACUGAGGAACGAAAGCAUGGGUAGCGAAGAGGAUUAGAUACCCUCGUAGUCCAUGCCGUAAACGAUGUGUGUUAGACGUUGGAAAUUUAUUUUCAGUGUCGCAGCGAAAGCGAUAAACACACCGCCUGGGGAGUACGACCGCAAGGUUAAAACUCAAAUGAAUUGACGGGGACCCGCACAAGUAGUGGAGCAUGUGGUUUAAUUCGAAGAUACGCACAGAACCUUACCAACACUUGACAUGUUCGUCGCGACUCUAAGAGAUUAGAGUUUUCGGUUCGGCCGGACGAAACACAGGUGCUGCAUGGCUGUCGUCAGCUCGUGUCGUGAGAUGUUGGGUUAAGUCCCGCAACGAGCGCAACCCUCACUUUUAGUUGCCAUCAUUAAGUUGGGCACUCUGAAAGAACUGCCAGUGAUAAGCUGGAGGAAGGUGGGGAUGACGUCAAGUCCUCAUGGCCCUUACGUGUUGGGCUACACACGUGCUACAAUGGUAUCUACAACAGGAAGCAAGACUGCGAGGUCAAGCAAAUCCUUAAAAGAUACCUCAGUUCGGAUUGCACUCUGCAACUCGAGUGCAUGAAGCUGGAAUUACUAGUAAUCGUGGAUCAGCGUGCCACGGUGAAUGCGUUCCCGGGUCU
rnacentral:rRNA from 1 species